AGUGCUGGCAAGCAUGGGGGUUUGAAGAAGAAGUUGUUGACAGAAUAGCUGUGGAUGGGACCUGAAGAAGGUUGUUCCAGAUCCUACAAGGGUGUGUUCGCAUUGUCCUUUCCUGAUGAUGUUUUUCAGGCCAAGGCUCAAAGACCUUCUGAGGUUGGCAUCCAUCCAUUCAUUCUUCUCUUGGAAAAUAUGUACAUGCGCUCAGAAGCCCAAGGUCCUGCACUCUGUGUAGCUGGGGGCGGAAGGGCAGUACUAGUAAUGUACUAGGCAAUGAGACUGAACUCUCUCUCCUCUCUGAGUGAGGACUGGAAUUCCCAUGUGAGACAGGACAGAGAAGAGAAUGAUCCUAGUGACACAUCAUGACAUGAAUGCUGAUUAUUGUUAUGACACAGAAAGCCAGUGAUUGGAGAACUGACCUCUAGCAGAAAAACACCUGUCUGGAUAAAUAAUUCUGCUCUACUAUAAAGAAAGAAGAAAGUAAUGAGGUGCUUUCAAUCAAUUUUUAAUCAUACCCACAAAAAUGGGUAUCUAUCAUGGUGAUGUGAGGGGAAGGACAAAGAUCAUCCUAUCAAGUUUGUUCAUUGGAGAAAGAAUAUGCUUUUAAGCGGUGCUCCAUCACUUCUUGCUGAGCCAGCUUACCUUUGGUGGAUGACUGACUGCUGUCUUUUGGAGGAGGAGCAAUUAAUUAUGGGCUGGCCUAGCCCCUGCAGAGAGUGCUGGUAAGUUUUUCACAAAGUUAUAUGGACAACAAGAACCCCUGAUUUUUAAAUAUGUAGCCAAUUGCUUAAGUGUGUUUGAAAUUAUAAUUCUGCCUUCUAGUAUUCCAUUGAAUCUCUGUAUAUCUUUUGUAUUGUUUUGUGGGGUUUUUAUGUCUUUGGUUACUUACCGUGGUGCAGCUAAAUCUCAGCCUUUGCAGUGUGGGUCUUUGCUGAAGUCAGGCACCCUGAACAACCUCGGUAAGC